AACUAACGCUGGCGGCGUGCCUAACACAUGCAAGUCGUACGAGAAAGUCCCGUUCGCGGGAUGAGUAAAGUGGCGCACGGGUGAGUAAUGCGUGGAUAAUCUGCCCUUUAGUUGGGAAUAACGUGCCGAAAGGUGCGCUAAUACCCGAUAAUACUGCACAACUACUGUUGUGUAGUCAAAGAAGGCCUCUGUUUACAAGCUUUUGCUGAAGGAUGAGUCCGCGUACCAUUAGCUGGUUGGUGGGGUAAUGGCCUACCAAGGCUACGAUGGUUAGCUGGUCUGAGAGGAUGAUCAGCCACACUGGAACUGAGACACGGUCCAGACUCCUACGGGAGGCAGCAGUCGAGAAUAGUCUACAAUGGCCGAAAGGCUGAUAGUGCGACGCCGCGUUGAACGAAGAAGCCCUUCGGGGUGUAAAGUUCUUUUAUAUGUGAGCAGUGCUUUCUAUGUGAACAGCAUGGGGAGAGAGAUAUUAGCAUAU
rnacentral:rRNA from 1 species